AGCAGACUUCUAGGCAAAGCUGAGAGCUUCUUAACAAGGCUUUGAUCCCUAAGCCCUUUAGCACCCUUCAGCCCUUAACCAGGGGGCGGGGCUACUCAGGAAGACCAAGGCUUUAAAAAGU